GGGUGGUAUACAGUACAUAUAGAAGCUAAAGAACUGUUACAGUUCACUGUAGCUGUAAUACCUCUCUUAGACAGCAGAGUGAAAACAGGUCAAAUUACAAACCGCUCCUUUAAAACUGGUAUUUUUUGUUCUAUAUUUUUUAAAACCCUCACUCAUUAAAAAAUAAAUAAUUGUCUCUAAAUAAAGAACAUCUGACUUAUCUCCUCGAUGUACUGUACAUUAUACCCCCUGCUGAUUUUGUUGGAAUUUUCAGUUUUCCGGCACCGGAAUUCAGUCAGCAGGGUGAUGUUUUAAUCCUGUGAUCCCUCGACUCAGACUUGGAUCCAAACCCAGGGCCUUUAUUUCCUGCCAAACUCUUCUGCUACUGUGCACAAAUCCUGCUGGAGAAACUGUUUCCUCCUGAUAAUUCCGAGAGAGGAAUUGUGUAUCACAUCGAUUAACAUUGCGUCGUUAUCUCCUUCCUCAAACACACGUUCAGCAUGCUUGCUUUUUUUCAUUUAGAAUUAGAAAGCUCUCCGGUAAUAACGACUAAAACGCCUUAAUCACUCAAGAGCCUGGUGAAGAGGCGAGCUGUUGGAUCGGCCGCGAUUAGCAACCCCAUUCUGCCUGCUGAUUGGCCAGGGAUAAACACAAUAAAUCACUAUUAGUGAGGAGUAUCAGUAAAUCGAAAAGAGAAGAAAAUGGACAUAAAUCGAGUGAUUGAUCAGGCUCAUUAAAGUGGGAAAGGAAGCAGGGUAUAGAUGUCUGAGAGCUCAACAAAAGUCCGCUUUUAUUUCAGACACUAAUCCCAAAUUUUGUCCAAUCACUUUUCUCAGACGAGACUCCAUCAUUCUUCACUAAUAUCAAUCCAGAACUGUGUUUUCAGACCAAGCACCCGACCCUAAACAGGACGCUAGUUUCUCUAUUAGCAUGCAGAUUGGACUUCUCCUAAUAACACUCCUCAAAGCCAUUGAGUUGAUUUUUCAAUUUCGUGCUGCUUAUCUCCCCCUCGCCUCGUAAUGAAAAUUUCCAUCAUUGCAGAACGAGAGGGCGACUAAAGCAGGGGUUUUAGCCAUUUUGGCUAACGAGCACUCUUAUCUCGGAAAGUGCUGGCCUUUCACAAAAAUAAGACACGCAAUCAUGGCUCGGACCCGCUGCGCCGUGAUUACAGGACGAUUUGGACGGCUGGAAAUUGGCCUGUUGUCCCACAGAGCGGCAGAAUAGAGGUGUAAACAAAAGCAAUUUCUGUUUGUGAAGGUAAAAAUCCCCACAAUCACAGUGAAAUUAACAUGACGUAGGACGAGUGCAGCGCGGAGCCAUGUAAACCACGCCCACAUUUACUAGACAGUUAAUAAUGUUAUGAAAAACAAAUUCAGAAAGAGAUUGAGGACUAAAGUUUGAGUACUUUUAGACAUACUUGUGAUCUCAUACUCUCAUACAUAAGCUAUAUAUUUUCUCAACGUUUCCAUAGGUGUGUUGUUCCCACUGUUUGCCAGUCUUUCCUAGAUUUUUAAUGUUAUGUGCUUUCAUGUUUUGCCUGAAUUUCCCAGUGCUUCCCAGCAUCCAAGUUCUAGCCUCCUCGUUCCCUCUUUGAAUUGUUUUCCAUUUCUGAAGCUCCCUAUUUUCAUUUUUUUUCACUGUUAUCCAAUCCCCAGUGUCCCAAAGAUUCACUAUUUUUAAUUUCCAUGUUUUAUAGUUGUCUAGGGGCAGUGGUGGCUUGGUGGGGAACAGUGGUGGCUUGGUGGGGAACAGUGGUGGCUUGGUGGGGGACAGUGGUGGCUUGGUGGGGGACAGUGGUGGCUUGGUGGGGGACAGUGGUGGCUUGGUGGGGGGCAGUGGUGGCUUGGUGGGGGCCAGUGGUGGCUUGGUGGGGGCCAGUGGUGGCUUGGUGGGGGCCAGUGGUGGCUUGUGGUAACUUGAUGGGGACAGUGGUGGCUUGGUGGGGGGCAGCGAGAUACUUGGUGGUUAAGGCUCUGGGUUACUGAUGGGAAGGUCGGGGGUUCAAGCCCCAGCACUGCCAGGCUGCCACAGUUGGUCCUUUGCGCAAGGCCCUUAACCCUCUCUGCUCCAGGGGCUCUGUAUCAUGGCUGACCCUGCGCUCUGACUCCAGCUUCCUGACAUACUGGGUUAUGCGAAGAAAAGAAUUUCACUGUGCUGUAAUGUAAACGUGACCAAUAAAGACUCAUUUUCAUUAGUUUCAAACAUUUCCGUUUCCCCAGUUUCCUUAUUUUCCCCGUUGUUUCCUAGUCUUUAAUGUUCUUCAGUUGGCAGGUUUCAUUAUGAUGAAGUGUUUACUAGAUGAAUGUGUAACCAAUAUUCUCUACUUUCCAGUGUACCUUAAUAAAGUGCACAAGUUUAUUUGAUUGUAGUUUACUUAGUUGCACUUAGUUACUUGCUCCCUAGUUUCCAGCACUUUCCUAGCUUUCUCUCUCUGAUGAUAGUAAUGGGAUCAGACAUGCUAAAUGAUCAUGUGCUGAAGCACCAGCGGCCAGUUCUUCACUGGCAUUUAAACUGGAAAAAGAGACGAUUGGUCCCGUGUAGUAAUCUUUGGUCUCGUCACCUGCCAGGAGGAAGAAAUCAGCUUUGUUUCGGAUCACGAGAAAUGGAAAAGCAAACAGAUGUGUUGUGGCUCAGUGUGUAUACGAUGACUGGCACACUAUAAAUAAAAAAAUAAAUAAGAAAAGUGGUCUAUUUGAGAUACAUUAAGCUGUGGGUGAAGCCAUUUAUCUGAAAAUGGAGUCUCGUUUGACUGCGAGUGUAAUAUCCUAAUUCAGAGACGUGCGCUAAGAAAAAAGGCGAGUCUCUUCCUGUGUCAUUUCCCAGCAGUGCUUUAGCCGCCGCAGUGUCGCGUGUAUGUGUGUGUGUGCGUGUGUGUGCUGAUGGAUCCAUUUUAAAGCACGGCUGAUUUCUCUCCCUCGACUCCCUCUUGGCCCGGCUAACAGCUUGUUCAGUCAAGGGUUAUCAGCUGCAGAUGGUUUCAGACAAUAAACAUGCUCAAAUACGGGGGUGGAAACUAAAAUAUGAUUACGAUUCUCUCUGCACUUCUUCUCGAUUUCUCUUCCUCUCACUCUGCAUGUCUGCUUUUUCUUCAUACAUCAGAAUGAUAUCCGCAUUAUAUAUUGCUAUUUGCGUUCGAGUUCUUAUUAAAACCUCAUUAAAGCAAUAACCGUCAGUGUUAAUGAGUUACUGUUGUCUCUGGAAGAAUAACACCUGAUUGUUGACUGCAUUCAGCCAAUCAGAACACAGCUGUUAUAUAGCACAUGGCUGUUGAAUCCUGGAUGCUGAUUGGUCAGAAGGUGUUCUGAAAUACAGAAGGUGUAUUUUCUAUAACAGCGCUCGAUCUAAUACAGUAUAAUUUCUAUAGCAACGGCUCAUUCACAGGGACGUGUACAGCGGACGCUCCGCGUAACCACGGAUUAAAAAAGAAUCGUUAAUGUGGUGAAGUUUUCUGUGAAGAGACUUUUAUGUAAUGGUUGUGGAAGGAGUCUCCAGUGUCAACGCUUUGUAAUGAUCAGAGGUAUAGCUGUUUCCGACCACUUCAGGACACAAGAGUUUACGUUUUUUGUGGUUUCUCAGUAACACGUCAAGCUGAUUUCUUUGUUUGUUUGUUUGUUUUAAAAGAGAGGCUGGUGAGGGAACGACUGUUUAUAGUCGUAUAUAAUACAUGUAGUAAUGUGUGCAUAUGUGUAUAAUAUGUAUAUUAAUUUCAUUUAUGUAUUAAUGUGUAUAAUACAGUAUGUGUAUUAUACCUCUAUAAAGUAUAUUAAUAUUGUAUAAUGUGUAUAAAUGUGUAUAAUGCGUAUUAAUGUUUGUAAUACAUGUAUAAUACUAUGUAUAAUCUAACCCCUAAAAUGCCAACCCCACAUUAUCCUUAAAAAAUAUAUAUAUAUACUCUGGCAGUUACAACUCUACUCUGCGAACUUUGCUUUUCUAGAACUCAGUUAAAGAUCUGGUACGGUAGUACUACUCGUAUUGUUCUCCGCUUGAUAUAUCACUUUGCUUGUAUUUCACCAUUUGUAAGUCGCUUUGGAUAAAAGCCUCUGCUAAAUGAAUGAAUGCAAAUGUAAAUACAUAUCUAAUUUGUAUAUGUGUAGUAAUAUGUGCGUGUGUAGUAAUGUGUGUAUUAAUAUGUGUAUGUGUAGUAAUGUGUGUAUAAUUUAUGUAUUAAUAUGUGUAAUGUGUGUAUUAAUGUGUAGUAAUGUGUAUAAUGUGUAUAUAUGUGUGUGUAGUAAUGUGUGUAUUAAUGUGUAGUAAUGUGUGUAUAAUUUGUGUAUUAAUAUUUGUAUGUGUCAUAAUGUGUGUACUGAUGUGUGUUUGUGUAGUAAUGUGUGUAUUGAUAUGUGUAGUAAUGUGUGUAUAAUUUGUGUAUUAAUAUGUGUAUGUGUAGUAAUGUGUGUAUAAUUUGUGUAUUAAUAUGUGUAUGUGUAGUAAUGUGUGUAUAAUCUGUGUAUUAAUAUGUGUGUGUAGUAAUGUGUGUAUAAUUUGUGUAUUAAUAUGUGUAUGUGUAGUAAUGUGUGUAUAAUUUGUGUAUUAAUACGUGUAGUAAUGUGUGUAUAAUUUGUGUAUUAAUAUGUGUAUGUGUAGUAAUGUGUGU
ensembl:lncRNA